UACAGAGGUCUCAAGCGUUGUUCGGAUUCAUUGGGCGUAAAGGGUGUGUAGGUGGCGCGCUAAGUCGGGUGUGAAAUUUCGGAGCUUAACUCCGAAACUGCAUUCGAUACUGGCGUGCUUGAGGACUGGAGAGGAGACUGGAAUUUACGGUGUAGCAGUGAAAUGCGUAGAUAUCGGAAGGAAGACCAGUGGCGAAGGCGGGUCUCUGGACAGUUCCUGACGCUGAGGCACGAAGGUCAGGGGAGCAAACGGG
rnacentral:rRNA from 1 species